AACUUCAAACUCAAAUCAAGGACUCUGUGGGGAGCAGAGUGGAGGAAGGAAAGAGCAGAAGUCUAGACAGGUGAAGAGCCCAGUUGGCACUGGGAUUGGACCCUUGUUUUACCUUCUCCUUGUGACACCCAACCUCUCAAAUCCAGCCAAAACUCAAACCUGAGACCUUUCUGAGCAGAGACAUGUUAGACUGUGAAAACCUCUGAGGUUCUUGGGCUCAGCCGCCUCCUGUUAGCCUUUGGCUUUGAAAGCCGAGGGUUGUCAGGUACCCUUUCAAGGGCAAGUGCAGCUGGAAAGGGCUUUGGGGGCACAGACUGUACUUAACGCCGAGGUGCUCUUCAUCUGUCAGCUCUUUGCCUCAGCUUUGUGUUGCCCCAAUGAUAUCUAAUUGACUGUUUUGAAAAGAACCAGAUUUUUCUUGCACUUUCCUACCAUUCUAUUUGCGGUGAUUUUAUGUUAAAUAAUUGCAACCCUCCUCAUUUCCUCUCUUCACUCUUUUCUUCUCAGUGGCUUUCCCUCAAGGUAUGAAAUUAGCUCCGAUGUCUCUGGCCAGCCCCCAGCUGGGUACUUUCUGUGUGUUACUUCUGGAAUCCUCCAGCUGCACCAGGAGGUCGAUGUUGGAAAAAGCUCAGGCUCAGAGGUGUAGGUGACGUGGCCGGCAGGAAGCCACCACUGGGGACCCCGAGGAAGAACAAGGGUUGUUUUCUCAAAUUCACCCCAGAGGAAGCUGUGAGGUGUGAGGUCAAAUCACUGGUUCAAGGGCUCCCGGCUGUCAAGAGUGGCUUUGGCCCAACUGGAGACCUUCUGACACACAAUCCAGGCUCUCUCUCACCACCCUCCUGGGCUAUUUUAAGUCCUGUUGCUUCCAGCUAUUUCCUGUGGCUAAAAACAAAAACAAACAAAAGCAGUGAUGAUGAGAAAACAGUGUACAGAAUUUAACAUAGUAAAUACAUAAAUAAACAGAGAAAGAAGAUGGAGGGAGGAGAGAGCCUGGGCAGAGAGAAAGAGCUGCAGGAGUCCAAAAAGACAAAAUGUCAUAUGCGCUUAAAACCAGUUUAACCCAAGCUGCUCUUUCUCUGUGACCUCUGUGGAUGCUGAGAAAGUUUCCAUUUGGUUUCCCUGGUUUCUUACUUGGGCACAGAGGUGAUGUCAUGAUGAAAUGAAUACUUGAAAAGUGGUUUGGGUACCACGUGGCCCCAGGAAUAAGACAAGCAUGAUGCAUAGUGCGUCCACAUCUAUAGAAACGGAGCCCUUUUCUUCUGCUCCCUUUCUACAGUCAGUUGUUGAGGUUAAACUCUAAGCGCAAUUUUCUUAGUGGAAUAAAAAUUAGUUUAUGUCCUGGAGUGAGAAUUUAUAAGAGUGUACAUUAUAUAGAAAUAAGCAAGUGUAGGUUGAAUUCUGGUACAUCAAUGAACACCUCACCACUUACAGAGCGGCCAAGCCACAAGUCUGUUGGUUGCCAACUUCUUCAGAAUUCUAUCCUACCCAAUCACUGCCUCCAACUUAGAAUUUGGGGUAUUAAUUUUGAUGUAAUGUUCAAGCUGGGAUAAAGCACGUCUUUUUUUUUUGGUCACUCGUUACCAUCCCCUUCUACUAUUUUGCACAAAUGGCAAGAGCGUUGUGCCCAGAAUUUAGAAGAAUGAUGAGUGGUAUAUUGCAAAAGGUCCUCAGGAAAGUCAGGAGGGUCCGGAGAACCAGCGUUUCCCACAGGACCACCGGGAGAGUAGACAUCAGAUAGCACUGGGGUGAUGCACAAAAAAAGAUUGAUUCCUGUAAAAAAUGGCUAGUAUUGCCCAAAUCAAAAGACCCUUGAAGCAUUUCAGGUGAGAUGCAAUUAAGGACUCCACUGCAGCAAAGUGCCAACUUGCAAACGUUCUUUACCCUGUAACUUUAAACUCAGGGAGCUGUAAAUUCAGAGCAGAACAGGCAAAUUAUUAGAGAUGCUUUUAUGCAUGAAAUCUCUGGAGGGAUGGAAUUGUGUCAAGAAUGAGGAGAUAGCCAAAAUCAACAAAGGAAGAGUUGAUGUCAUCAUCUGAAUACAUUAGGAGAAAAAGUUGUAAAAAUUAUUCAACUAGUUUAGAAAGCAUAAUUAGGCAUUGAUGCCACCAUUUAUUUAUUUUACAAUUUAUUUUUUUAAGUAUUUAUUUGUUUGCACCAGGUCUUAGUUGCAGCAGGCAGGCUCCUUAGUUGCAGCAUGCAAACUCUUAGUUGUGGCAUGCACAUGGGAUCUGGUUCCGUGACCAGGGAUUGAACCCGGGGCCCCCUGCAUUGGGAGUGUGGAGUCUUAACCACUGCACCACCAGGGAAGUCCCGAGGCCUCCAUUUAUUCAUCCCUAUAGUCGAUUUCGUUUGAUGUGGGCAGUGGCUGCCUAGAGAGAUAUUACAAAUAAAACAAAAAUUAACAAAAUUUUAGUCAUCAUUUUAGAAAAGAUUGCUCUCGUAUGAAAUGAUUUGUUCCAAAGAAUUCUAGGUAGACACAUGAAAGAUAGUUAUGUAAAUAGAUAUUUGAGUUGUUUGAAUUCAUUUUGGGUCCUACAGACUAAUCUGUAUUCACUUGAAUCAUAUUGUAUGUAGAAUCUGAUUCCUAAAACAAGUGAAGUCUGACCCCUUGGUUCUGGAAAACUUCCUUAAGUCCUUUCUUAUCAUCAUUUCCUAUGCUCCUGAAGAUUAUGAAACAGAGUUGGCAACCUUCUUGUUAAUGCAUUAGUUUUCAGCUGGGGUGGGAACAAAACAACAACAAAUAAUAACUCCAGUCUUGUGUUCUAAGGUAAUGGUGUGAAGACGAUGUCCAGUGAAAACUGAGUAGCACGAUGGAAAAUGUUAUGCUCAGGCUUCCCUGGUGGCGCAGUGGUUGGGGGUCCGCCUGCCGAUGCAGGGGACGCGGGUUCGUGUCCCGGUCCGGGAGGAUCCCACAUGCCACGGAGCGGCUGGGCCCGUGAGCCAUGGCCGCUGAGCCUGCAUGUCCGGAGCCUGUGCUCCGCAACGGGAGAGGCCACAACAGUGAGAGGCCCGCGUACCGC
rnacentral:lncRNA from 1 species